rnacentral:lncRNA from 1 species
AUAAUUCAAUUCAAUUCAUAAAAGUAUGCAAUUUUUCAUCAAUGUUUUUUUAUGACGUUAUCACGUAAAACUAUCGACCGUAAACCGACUUUACAGACAACCAAUUUUUUUCAUACUUUUUUUGUUAAAAUAAU